rnacentral:rRNA from 1 species
AUUGAACGCUGGCGGCAGGCCUAACACAUGCAAGUCGAACGGUAACAGGAAGAAGCUUGCUUCUUUGCUGACGAGUGGCGGACGGGUGAGUAAUGUCUGGGAAACUGCCUGAUGGAGGGGGAUAACUACUGGAAACGGUAGCUAAUACCGCAUAACGUCGCAAGACCAAAGAGGGGGACCUUCGGGCCUCUUGCCAUCGGAUGUGCCCAGAUGGGAUUAGCUAGUAGGUGGGGUAACGGCUCACCUAGGCGACGACCCCUAGCUGGUCUGAGAGGAUGACCAGCCACACUGGAACUGAGACACGGUCCAGACUCCUACGGGAGGCAGCAGUGGGGAAUAUUGCACAAUGGGCGCAAGCCUGAUGCAGCCAUGCCGCGUGUAUGAAGAAGGCCUUCGGGUUGUAAAGUACUUUCAGCGGGGAGGAAGGGAGUAAAGUUAAUACCUUUGCUCAUUGACGUUACCCGCAGAAGAAGCACCGGCUAACUCCGUG